CCCCCUAUGGGCUUUAAUGUGAGGCGGAAUUCCGCAAGUGGAAAUUCUUCCCUGUGAAUAGAUCCUUAAGAUUAUAUGUCAGGUGUAGGAACUAUGGAGCAGGUUCAAGAGCUGAGCUCGUUCCAUAUGAGUGUUUUUCCUGUUCAAGUCACAUGAUCAUUUAGAACAUGGGACAAAAAAGGACAACACAAAAAAAAUCUAAAGG